GACCCCGCUGCCCCUCACCGGGCCGCCCCUCACCGUGCCGGCCCGCGGCGGGGCCCCGGCCCAGGAUGCUGUCGAUGAAGUAGGAGAACUCUGACUCAGACCUUGACUUCAUUCCUUUCACUACCACAAUUUGGUUUGGCCAAAGCAAUACCUUUGUGAUCCUGUUCCUGUGGCAUCCUCUGAGAACGUUUGGGACAGCACUUUGUAAUACAAACUCUUGAAAAAGUUAAGGUGCCUGUGUGAAAGAUGACUCUGGAUAACAUUUACAAAAAGUGAGGUUUUUUACAUGGGAUUUUCUUGACAUUUCCUAAUUUAUUGCCCUGUUCAUAUUUGUUGGAAAAACAAAUGACACAUUUGUGUUGGGAAAAACAAUUAUUCUCUGCAUGCUAUGGACCAAAUGCUGUCAAUUCCAGGAAAGAAGACUUGAGCAAUCUAAUUUCCUCUGAUGAAAGAAGCUGUCAGAACUUCAUAAGGAAUGUCCUGGAUGUGAAAUAACCAGUGAUACGCUUGUUUUCUAGUUACACAUGUUACAGUCACACAUGUGUCUAUGGUCAAAGAGGAGCCCCUGCAUCUUGGAGAGCAUGCCUUAGGAAUUCCAAUUGGAUUCUUGGUGCUGGUAGCACCUCUGGGACAACAGAAUUAAGAAGAGGAAAAACCCUGCACAAUAGUAACUGCAACCAGAGGGAGGAGUGAGAAUAUGAGAGGAACAGCUGUGCAGACCCCCAGAGAGGCCUGAAGAUCUGCAUGAACUUGGGGAUCAGCACCUCUCUUUCAUUUUAUGGGAUUAGAUCUAGGUUACGUGUGGCAAUCCUGUAAAUGCUGGGGAAAUGCGAGACUGAAUGUUGUGGUACAGCCUUAGUUGGUCUCUCUCGAGCCAAUUGAUACUUAUUAUACCAGCUGCACCAGAGUGCAGUAACUCUUUUGUAAUGGAAUCACAGUAAGCUGGUUUCCCAUUUCAGUUAAUAACUUGUGAAAAGAAUGUAAGUGCUUUUUGCUGAUUAGGCAUACUUGACUGCUUGGGAAAAAAAUAUGUGUGCAGUACAUGGCAAUUCAGCUUCCCUCUCCGUGCUGCAUAUUCAAAAGCACAAUAAAAUAUUAGUUGAAAGAAGAGUAAGAUAAGAAUUGGAAUGUUGCUGACUAUGGAGAAGGCAUUGUGUUGAGAUGGCAGACACUGCUGUCACUGUGCUCAUUCUCACCAAUCCACCUGGAGCAGAUGCCCCUCUGUUGUGUCCCCAUCCAAAUCUCUUGGCAGUCUCACUUUCAGAUCCCUUCCUUCUCCCACUGCAGACCUUUGAUUUUAUGCAGACAAAUAAACUGAGAGCCUCAGUCUUCUCUGUGCAUUUGGUUCCUGAAGGAGAUAGAUUGUUCAUGAAAGGCUGGCAUGUAAGAGGUUCCUGUUGAAGUGAUAUAAAUGUAUUUUGAGAUACCUAGAAUGACCUAAACAUACUGC